UUCAUUGCAGAUAAAACUUACCUAGAGCCACAUGUACAGACAUUUGAAUUUUGAUGUCCUGAAGAAUGGAGAGCUUGCAGUGAUGACACUGUGCAGCUAGGU